AUCACUUCUCUGCUUUUUGGCUAAAAUUAAGUGUAGUAUCUAUCCUUAUCAGUUUAGUAUCUGAUAUGUUCUCUAUACGAGGACGAUAUAUUAAAUGGAUCUUUGGAGCUAGGAUAUGGAAUAGGAGCUUGCUCCAUCCACCCCACACAUCAACCUGGUGUUGCAGUACCUCCAAGAACAGUGCACCUCCU
ensembl:snRNA U2 U2 spliceosomal RNA